rnacentral:SRP_RNA from 1 species
CGGGUCCCAUGCGACGGCUGCCGCCAAAACCCCGCCAGGGCCGGAAGGCAGCAACGGUAUGGCCGGUGCGCCGGGCGCGUGGGGUGCCUGGC